rnacentral:tRNA from 1 species
GAACUAGUAGUUUAAUGAAGAAUGCUUGAUUGUUAAUCAAAUGGUGAGUAAUAACUCUUGGUUUA